UCGGGAAUUUUGGGCAAUGGGCGCAACCCUGAUCCAGCCAUGCCGCGUGAGUGAAGAAGGCCUUCGGGUUGUAAAGCUCUUUCGGCGGGGACGAAACGGUCCGUGACAACACCACGGACUAAUGACAGUACUCGCAGAAGAAGCACCGGCUAACUACGUGCCAGCAGCCGCGGUAAUACGUAGGGUGCAGGCGUUAAUCGGAAUUACUGGGCGUAAAGCGUGCGCAGGCGGCUCCUUAAGUCAGAUGUGAAAUCCCCGGGCUUAACCUGGGAAUUGCAUUUGAGACUGCACGGCUAGAGUGUGUCAGAGGGGGGUAGAAUUCCACGUGUAGCAGUGAAAUGCGUAGAUAUGUGGAGGAAUACCGAUGGCGAAGGCAGCCCCCUGGGAUAACACUGACGCUCAUGCACGAAAGCGUGGGGAGCAAACAGGAUUAGAUACCCUUGUAGUCCCUGAGCGGGCUGGCAAGGCGCAU
rnacentral:rRNA from 1 species